UUACAGCCAUAUCACACUGAAACACCAGUUGCCGUACGAUCAUCUAAGUUAAGCAACGUCGAGCCUGGUCAGUAUGUAGAAGGGUGGCCACUUGGGAACACCAGGUGAUUGG